GACGAACGCUGGCGGCGUGCUUAACACAUGCAAGUCGAACGGAAAGGCCCUGCUUGCGGGGUACUCGAGUGGCGAACGGGUGAGUAACACGUGGGUGAUCUGCCCUGCACUUCGGGAUAAGCCUGGGAAACUGGGUCUAAUACCGGAUAGAAGCCAUUUUUAGUGUGAUGGUUGGAAAGUUUUUUCGGUGUAGGGUGAGCUCGCGGCCUAUCAGCUUGCUGGUGGGGUAAUGGCCUACCAAGGCGGCGACGGGUAGCCGGCCUGAGAGGGUGGACGGCCACAUUGGGACUGAGAUACGGCCCAGACACCUACGGGAGGGAGCAGUGGGGAAGAUUGCACAAUGGGCGCAAGCCUGAUGCAGCGACGCCGCGUGGGGGAUGACGGCCUUCGGGUUGUAAACCCCUUUCGCUAGGGACGAAGCUGUUUGUGACGGUACCUAGAUAAGAAGCACCGGCUAACUACGUG
rnacentral:rRNA from 1 species